UUUUCAACUUUGAUCCAAAAGUCUUGUCUUCUUGAAUUCUUGUCAAGUUCGAGGCCCUCUUCAACGUGGUAUAAUUAAUUGAGCGAAAAAAUUUUGUUUGUGGCAAGUCGAAGAUUGAAGAAAAGAUUUUGGAAGAAACGGGAUUUGAAUUUGAGUGAGCGUAAGAAGCGGAUAAGGUAUAGACGUUCUGGAUCCGUCGGCGUAGGCUGCACACCUUCUGCUACUACAGAGUGCUCCAUUGACUCGAAGCCGCAUUUUGGUAUAUGCCUUUCUGAUGUACACACUCUUAUGUAUUUGAAUAUUUGGGUAC